rnacentral:SRP_RNA from 1 species
GCCGGGUGCACUGAUGCGUGCCUGUGGUCCCAGCUACCCGGGAGGCUGAGGAUGGAGGAUCACUUGAGUCCAGGAGUUCUGGGCUGUAGUGCCCUAUGCCAGUCGGGUGUCUGCACUAGGUUCGGCAUCACUAUGGUGACCUCCUGGGAACGGGGGACCACCAGGUUAUCUAUGGAGGGGUGAACCGGCCCAGGUUGGAAACGAGGAAGUCAAAACUCUCAUGCUGAUCAGUAAUGGGAUCGCGCCUGUGAAUAGCCACUGCAUUCCAGCCUGGGCAACAUAGCGAGACCCUGUCUCU